GACGAACGCUGGCGGCGUGCUUAACACAUGCCAGUCGAACGGAAAGGCCCUGCUUGCAGGGUACUCGAGUGGCGAACGGGUGAGUAACACGUGGGUGAUCUGCCCUGCACUUCGGGAUAAGCCUGGGAAACUGGGUCUAAUACCGGAUAGGAGCCAUUUUUAGUGUGAUGGUUGGAAAGUUUUUUCGGUGUAGGAUGAGCUCGCGGCCUAUCAGCUUGUUGGUGGGGUAAUGGCCUACCAAGGCGGCGACGGGUAGCCGGCCUGAGAGGGUGGACGGCCACAUUGGGACUGAGAUACGGCCCAGACUCCUACGGGAGGCAGCAGUGGGGAAUAUUGCACAAUGGGCGCAAGCCUGAUGCAGCGACGCCGCGUGGGGGAUGACGGCCUUCGGGUUGUAAACUCCUUUCGCUAGGGACGAAGCUUUUUGUGACGGUACCUAGAGAAGAAGCACCGGCUAACUACGUG
rnacentral:rRNA from 1 species